AAUACCUACCGUGUUUUAUUCGGAUCCUACCUCUUUACAGAGGACAGUUCCUUCUUUGAAGGAGUUUAUAAUCCGGGCAGAUGAGAGUGACACGUACAAAUCAGUAAUACCAGGCUCUUUAUGAUAAAUGACAAGGAUUUGAGAUUUUCUGGACCACCCAGAUGACUCAAAGCUGGGCUCCAGUCCUUGGGAAGAAUGUUCGUCUUCUAAUUCACCCUUAUUCCUCGAAUCCCAACCCAAAACACAGGUGUGGUGGUUAAUUUUAUUUGUCAACUUGACUGAGCCCUAAGAUGCCCAGAUAUUUGGUCAAACAUUAUUCUGGAUGUUUCUGUGAGGGAGUUUUUUGGAUGAGAUUGACAUUUAAAUUGGUAGACUGAAAAAAGCAGAUUGCCCUCCAUAAUGUGGAUGGAGCUCACCCAAUCAGUUGAAGACUUGAAUAGAACAAAAGGCUGACCUCCCCCAAGUAAAAGAUAAUUCCUCCUGCCUGACCGGAGGAAUUGAACUGGAACAUUGGCUCUUUCUGGUUCUACAGCAGCUUCUGGCCUUCCGACUUGAACCAGGACAUUGGCUUUGCAGAUUUUUUCCUUGCCGGCCUUCAUAAUCAUUUAUCGUUAGUGGGAGAGUUGUCUGUCACCCUCGUCCUCCAUUACCAGAAUCAUUUGAACAUGGUGCCAGUGCCCUGAUCUCAAUCAUCGUGGAUACCAAUUAUUUAUAUAUUAUUAUUUUGUAAGGCCAUAUAGAUUAUACCCUUUUAGGCCUUUAAGCCAUUCUGCAAUUUCAUGUCCUUAGGCAAAGACAGCGUCUGUGGCAAAGUGAAGUCCAACACUUCUGACCCAGUCUAAACACUGGGUUAGAAACCUCACCUCAUCGCCUGCCACAAAGAAUUAUUUCUAUCUCUGCAUUAACUGAAUGGUCUUGGGCAAGUCACUGAGCCUGUCUACUUCUGGGCCCCCACCCUCCCUGGCAAAGUCAGGAGCUGCUCUGAAAUUCUCUGAGUGUGGGGAGACCACAAGUGGACUGUCCUCCAGGAAACAAUGAUGAGGUCUUUCAACCUCAUGGAAUGCUCCUGGCAUCUCUCCAGGAAGAGGCUCGCUGCCAUCAGCUACUAGACUGACAGCCCCGCAGAGCCUCCCCCAGGAGGUCAAGUGUCGGAGUCCUACGGAAUGCUAGAAGAAACUUGGCGAGUGUCUCAGCGCCAUGCAUAAUGGGCUCCAUGCCAAGUUAUCUUGUUUAAACGUCACAUUCCUACGAGCAGAUGCUCUUAUAAUUCCUCAUUUAAUAGUUGAGGAAACAGGAGAUAAGAUAGGUUAAGUUGCCCAAGGUCACACUGCUGGGAAAGUGGAACCCAUAUCUGACUUCAAAGCAUAAGAAUUAGACUUAUUUUAUGUAAUUACAGAGGUGAAGACUAGAUUGAAGUAAGGGCAAAAUAGAGGAGACAUAUUUCGACUCAAUACUGGGUGGGACUUUUGAACCAUGAUUGUCAGCCAAAACUGCAAUGGGCUGCCUUUUUUUCACUGGAAGAGUUCAAGUUGGAUUACCAUUUUUUUCAGGGAUGCUAUGGAAGGGAAUCCCAAACUGGCCGAAAGUUGGACUAGACACCCACCAAAUGUCCCUUUGAGCCCGAAAAUUCUAAUAUAAUUCUAAGAUUGUGUGAUUUGGUGUCUCCCAGGAAAUUCACAUACAGCAGUUGGAGACCCCACCACCGGAGGGCAGCGUCUUCACAUUUGGUGCAUUUGCACAGAAGGACGCAAACCCCAUCCCCUCCGAGGUGCCUAGAGAGUGCGAAGAUUAGCAUGGGGGUGAUGUGGGCCCGUGUGAAGACAGAGAGGGAUCCACCACCAGCAUGUUAAUAUCCCUUCCUCUACCAGCCGGAACAAUGAUUUCUGUCUGCCAGUGCAUUGGAGAGGGCAGGGUGCUGAAGUUCAAAGGGAAGACCCCAUUUCCAUGAAGCUGGGGAGGAGGGGCGUUCUGAGGGCUGCUUCCUCUGCCCCUGCACCCCAAAGACUAGGACAGUGAGGAGAGAAACAGGGUCGAGGAGUGUCAGAAGGUGACCAAGAAAUCCCGUCACGCUCGGGAAGAUGGAAGGACCCAGGAAGGGAAGAGCAACUUGGAAGGACCGUGAGACCUGCCUUCCAUUCAGGUGGUCUGUAGGGUCCUGGGUGUCAAAACCAGGGUUGACAAGUGGAUUCCACCAUGGGGCAGGGCUCAGCCUGAUUUAAGGAAGCUCUCUGUGCAAUGUCAGGAAGCACUGCCUUGGGAGGCAUUCACUCCACACAUGUUUACCGUAUUUACUGUGUUCUCCCUUCAGGCCGGGUGCUGUCUUAUUGCUGAGAAACAGCAGUGAAUAAAACACACAAGAUACACUUUGCCUGCCCUCACAGAGCUGACCUGCCUGUGUCUGAGCAUCCGGGGAGAUGCUGAGGCGUGGCGUGGGGGGCCUUUGGGUCGUUAGCCUGGAU